rnacentral:rRNA from 1 species
AUUGAACGCUGGCGGCAGGCCUACCACAUGCAAGUCGAGCGAGCGGCGGACGGGUGAGUAAUGUCUGGGAAAAUGCCUGAUGGAGGGGGAUAACUACUGGAACCGGUAGCUAAUACCGCAUACCAUCAGAUGUGCCCAGAUGGGAUUAGCUAGUAGGUGGGGUAACGGCUACACUAGGCGACGAUCCCUAGCUGGUCUGAGAGGAUGACCAGCCACACUGGAACUGAGAAACGGGCAAGACUCGUACGUGAGGGAGCAGUGGGGAAGAUUGCAAAAUGGGCGCAAGCCUGAUGCAGCCAUGCCGCGUGUGUGAAGAAGGCCUUCGGGUUGUAAAGCACUUUCAGCGGGGAGGCGUUACCCGCAGAAGAAGCACCGGCUAACUCCGUGCCAGCAGCCGCGGUAAUAC